GUGCCCUCCCCCAAGCCAAGACCCUCGGGCAGCGGCGAGGUAGCACGGCGAGGCCCGCGGAGGCAGGCAGCCCUGCCCCCGCCUCCCCACACCACGGCCCGCGAGAUCCGCGCCCGCGGAGCCGGGUGGGAGUCGGGGGGAGCCUCCCCGCGGCGUGGAAUUUCCCCUCACUCCCCAUUCCUGCUCCUCCGCUGCCCUCUCCCCACAGCCUCCCCUGUGAUGCUAUAUUAUGCCCAAACUUUUUUACGCACGCGGGAGCAGCGCCGGCCCCGCGGAGCCUCCGCGCCCUCCACCCCUCCCGCACAGGGAAAACAGUUUGGCUCCAUUGUCGGGUUGCCAAGACCGCCUUUUGAGAAAGGGAGCCCGGCUAGCCUCUGAUCAAACUCAAAGAAAACAGAGUGGACAAUGAACUGCUCUCUGAAACAAAGGGGCAAGAACUACUCGUCCCUUUCACUCCAGUAAGAGGAGGCUGUUGGAUCAAUAAAUCCUUUCAGACUAGGACAAUUAGCCUCUGAAAUAACUAAUUCUUCAAGGGAGAAAAGGGACAGACUCUUUCUCUUUGCUGAGUUUAAUCAAAGACACUCCACACCGCGCAAGUAGGACCUGAACAUGGACCGCCAGGCUCUUCACUGACCGAGUGCAUUGAUUUCACCAGCUGAGAACCUGACUCAGAUGCUUUGUACUACACUGAUUGCACAACCCCUGUAAAAGGGCCUGUGGCUUCCAGAAAGCACAGGAGUUUUUAGUUCCACCUGAUACUGGGAAUACGAACUCCCUCUAAAGGCCGAACAAAGCUCCCUCCUUAAAUUCACUGGGUUAUUUAGUAGCUCUAAAGUUUUUAGAGCCUCAGAAUCAUCCCUCUCCCUAAGGUAACCACCUUGUCUGGCUCCCAGGAACAAUGUUCUGCUUUUCUCAGCUUUGACCCCAUUAGGUAAAUCCAUGUGGAUUUUUUUUCUGGCUGACUAGCUGAAAAAAAGAUGUUUUUUCUCUUGGUUUACCUCACACCAUUCAAAAAAGCUAAACAGAUUCUCAAAAUGUUUAUGAUCAGAUUGAAUAGGCCAAAUUAAUCCUUUGUGCUUGCAGCCUGUUUUUCGUUAAUUAGUGGAAACCCAACCUGACAAUAUUCAAUAUCACAGUUUCCAGACUAAGAGUGCAUUGCUGAGAUAAAUGGAGUAGAAGGAAGAUGUCAGUUCCUGGCAUUAUCAUCCUCCUGUACAAUAGCAUUUUGUUUGUUUGUUGGAAUAUAUAUGAUAGUGGCAGAUAAUUUUUUUUUUUCAGAGCCUAGGACAUUUCAAUAAAUUCAUGUAAAUAAAAUAUACAGACAAAGAAAAAUUGUGGUUAUACAGCUCUUUUUGAAAUCUCCAUAAUCUUGUACAAAUCUCCUCUCUUUUGGGUGCCCUCACAGACAUGUUGAACUCUGCUCAAGCCAGCUGUGAGAGGUAAAGAUGACCAUGCUCCCAGCUGACACCUUCCUGGAGGCCCAAGUACCACUACUCUUAACUUUGCAUCUAAGAGAGCUCAGCAUCUGCCCCAUGGGGGGGUGCAGACUUCCUGACCUCCUGGAUCCCAGCUCUUCAAAUCACAGCCAUCCUUGUUCCUACUGCUGAAAGAGGGACCUCAGCCACGAACAUGAGGGACCGAUGCUCUUGCUAGAGCCAGGUGCCCCUGUGCUUGGAACAGUGGGGAUCAUGUCACCGCUCGGUAUCUCCAACCAGCUGGAACAUUUACCAUGGUUUCUUUUUGCCCAGGACUGGAUGCUGACAUUCCUUUUGGGAAAAGCAUUCCUAAACUACAGGAGCAUGUAAGGAAAGCCCAUUCCUCAUCUGUAGAGGUGUCAAGAGUACAUCUAAGAGAGAAAAAGGAAGAUGUUUGUUGGCUUACCACUCCUGGAUUUUCUCCUCUGCUGAAAAUGCUAUCUCUCAUGGAGCUUCACUGCUUACCUGGAUAAUUAUGAGGAGCACCCAGCUUUUGACUGGAAAAAUCCUUACAAUAAUCUACAGCACAUUUACUAGAUUUGAAAGAUCCAAGUCACACGGGAGAUGAUGGUCAUGCCUGCAUCGCAAACUGGAGGACACUGCAGAGAUUCCACAGCAGAUGGAGCCCUGAAGAGCUAUACCUCUAAGUUUCAGUGCCCCACAGCCUACACCAACCAGCAUGGUUCUGGGAACAACUUAUCCACAGUACAGGCGGUGCUGCUGUUGAAUCUACACGUCAUCCUCCACAGGACAUGUUAGACUGUGCACCUUCUAACACAGCUGCUGAGUGUCUGGGCCUGCUUUGCCUCACACCCAGCUGAGUUGGCUCCCUCUGGACCACAGAUUCUUACAAAUCCACUUUGAGGUUUACAUGAAUUAAGGUCUAUCACCCAAGAAGACAAAGUAUGAAGCUGGCCUUGCUUCCUCACAGAAUGAAAAACUGCUGAGAGUAGGAUGAGAAAAUUGGAGGGAAAAGUCUGGUCAUGCCACGAACACAGGCGGAGCUCAUGAGCUCUGUGGAUGGGACCAACUCUGCCACCUCUGCAUUCAAACUCCUCCUAAUACUUAUUAGUUCCUUUCCAAUGUCUUUCUCUCCGUCCCUAGGCUGCUACUUCUACCACCUCAUCACCACCUUCAUAGGAAAGAAACCCUACUUUCACAUCAAGGGAAACCGCCAGGAGAUUCAGGACCUGAUGGGGGAAAAGUGUUGGGUCUCAUCUCUUGCAAUUUCCUGUUCAUUUAGAAUGAGAACUGGAAAAUAGAGAUAAUCAUUUGCAAAAGCGUGCCAGAAAAAUAAUCUGAAUUACCAUCAUCAUCAUUAUCAGUAAAAUUAUUUUACUAUAAAGAGAGAAGGAGUGAUUCACAGUGCUGUGGCAAUGUGGUAUUCUGGCUGGUAUCUAAACAAGCUUGCAACAUAAAUCUCUUGUUUCCUUUUAAAAGAGUACAUUUGUCUUCAGGUUCUGUUUUGGGGUAUGAGCAAGAAAGGUUCCUAUUGGGAGGGAAUGUUCAUUGUUUGUUUAUUGCUGUGUCCUGAAUGGUACAAUAGGACAAAUAAAGAUGCCUGAAUGCCAUUGUUUCAUAUUCUAUAAACCC